GUGUUCGCUUCAGCAGCAUAUAUAGUACAAAUUGGAAUGAUACAGAGAAGAUUAGCAUGGCCCCUGUGCAAGAUUGACACAUUAAUUCAUGAAGCAGUACAUAUUUUU